rnacentral:rRNA from 1 species
GAUGAACGCUGGCGGCGUGCCUAAUACAUGCAAGUCGAGCGAACGGACGAGAAGCUUGCUUCUCUGAUGUUAGCGGCGGACGGGUGAGUAACACGUGGAUAACCUACCUAUAAGACUGGGAUAACUUCGGGAAACCGGAGCUAAUACCGGAUAAUAUUUUGAACCGCAUGGUUCAAAAGUGAAAGACGGUCUUGCUGUCACUUAUAGAUGGAUCCGCGCUGCAUUAGCUAGUUGGUAAGGUAACGGCUUACCAAGGCAACGAUGCAUAGCCGACCUGAGAGGGUGGUCGGCCACACUGGAACUGGGACACGGUCCAGACUCCUACGGGAGGCAGCAGUAGGGAAUCUUCCGCAAUGGGGGAAAGCCUGACGGAGCAACGCCGCGUGAGUGAUGAAGGUCUUCGGAUCGUAAAACUCUGUUAUUAGGGAAGAACAUGUGUGUAAGUAACUGUGCACAUCUUGACGGUACCUAAUCAGAAAGCCACGGCUAACUACGUG